AGGGUUGUAACUCAAUGGUAGAGUGCCUGCCUAGCUUGUACAAGGCCCUGGGUUCCAGCCCCAGCAUCACCA
rnacentral:tRNA from 1 species